UACGUAGGGUGCAAGCGUUAAUCGGAAUUACUGGGCGUAAAGCGCACGUAGGCGGCUUUGUAAGUUAGAGGUGAAAGCCCGGGGCUCAACCCCGGAAUUGCCUUUAAGACUGCAUCGCUUGAAUCCAGGAGAGGUGAGUGGAAUUCCGAGUGUAGAGGUGAAAUUCGUAGAUAUUCGGAAGAACACCAGUGGCGAAGGCGGCUCACUGGACUGGUAUUGACGCUGAGGUGCGAAAGCGUGGGGAGCAAACAAG
rnacentral:rRNA from 1 species